GGUGAAGGGAGGUUUGGGAGGGCCAAUGAGAUUAUGGAUCUGGACUGGGCGUGGCCAGGAACCGCCACUCUGGUGGGCUACAACCCUCUUAGUACCCUCCCUUCCCUUUAGCAUAGAUGACCUUCAAUGUCUCCAGCGUACGGCUCCCAGCAUACGGCUCCCUCCGUGACUCCUUCCAUGUGAGUGACCGUCCAGAGAAGGCACCACCCACAGAGAUCCCUGGUAAAAGAGAUGGACUCUUCUUCCGGGAAUCCUUGUGGCAAGAUGGAUGAGAGGAGAAGGAAAGGCCAGGACAUGGAUGUACCUGCCCCCUGGCGCCCUUGAGAUCCUGCUGUGACAUCCACAGGACUGGGAUGGCCGUCCCCAUUUCGGAGAUAAGAACCCAGCUAUGCAUGGAGGGAUAGAAUACGCCUGGAAGCCAUUGCGGUAGCCAAGGAGGAAAAUCUCAAGGCUCGAAGCUAAAUUCACCACCCUCUACAGGCCCUGCUUUUUGGGCACAUUUCACCAACUUCCUCCAAGGGAUCCCCAGACCCCACUUUGCCACUUGAGCCAUCGCUAUGAAGGUUGGGACCAGCUGCCGACCAUUUGUCCAAGGCUUCUGUUUGCUUGACUCUUGGCAGGGGUCUGCAGUGCUACAUUAAGUGUUCUUUUCUGGCUUAUUUGUGGGCAUUGGAAGCCUCCAAAUUGCCAUGAACAGAGGCACCUGGCUCUCCGGGGAGACUUUCUGAGUCCAUCUCUCCACCUUGUUUAUUUGUGAAGUGGGAACGCAGACACAACGGGUGUAUGUUUUACAUUAAGCGGAGUAGGGGCUUGUGGCAUUUCUGUCUGCACUUGAGACAUGUUUAUACUGCUGGGUCCAUUAUGAAUCUGGUUAAUAUCCUUCGAAUUCUCCGAGUCCUUCCGUCCCUCCAGCCAGGAAGUGGGUAAUGUUCGCACAGAGAAGAAAUUUCCAGGCACUUAGACCUUUAAGCAAAUGAGGACUUUUUUUUUUAAAGGGAUUGGGGGUGGGCUUGUUGGAGGGAAAAAAAAGAAAGGGAGAGAGAAGGAAGGGGGAAGGGAAGGAGAGAAAAAGAGGGGGGGAUUAAACUCUUCCUGCUCCCCUAAUCCUUUCCUCACGGAUGUUUCUCUGGGUUCUAGAGAAAGAGAAGCACCAGUGAGCAGAGAAUGGGGUCCUGGCCACAGCAUCCCCUUCCCUGGAGAGGUAGGGAUGGGGAUUUGAAGGUGAGCACCCCUCCCUCAGGGACAGGAAAGAUGAGAUCUGCAGUCAGGAGUUCGAGGUCCUCUGAGGGCUGCCUUUGUUGGCUGCUUUGGCCCAGGGAACAGACUUCCCACAACUGUUCCUGCUCGUUGGCAGCUCCCUGCUUGUUGGCAGAACACACGGUAUUAUUUUAAGAAGAAAAACGAGAUUGCUGUUAUUGCUAUAUUCCUCCUGUAGGAAUGGUAGCUUGGCCCAGCCUGGACUGAGCAGAGAGGCGGCGGUCAGCGCCAAAGACGGGUGAGCUCAUCGCUCGAGGGGAUGUAGGUGUUUCCAGCAGGCAUAGUGUGGAAGAAAGGUUUCAUGCUUGGGCUCCCAAGUCCUUAGUCAGAGCAGAACCUUUAUCCGCUUUAUCACCUCCUCCCCAGCCAUCUGAGCCCAUCCCCAUUUGAUCCUUCUGUCUUCUUGUGUCUCUGACCAAAUGCUCACCACUGGCCAUGUUAUCUCACAGCUACAUUAGAAAGAAAAUGAGGGAAAUACUUGGCACUCAGUAGGUGCUCAUUUAACAUUUCCUUCCUCUCUCCCUUCUUGCAGAAGCAAAGGGUACUAUGUAAUUAAGGAACUGUGAGCAGGCCAUGGAGGUGCACACCUGUGAUCUCGGCAUCUGCCUGGCCCCCGGGGGCUAUGUAACCCAAGAAAACGCUGGGUGUGUGGUAUGAAGUCAUGGUCUCCGCACUAGGGAGGUGGAGAUGGAUGGAUCCCUGGAGAUCACUGGCCAACUAUCCUACUCAAAUCAACGAACCCGGGCCAGUGAGAGACUCAGCCUCAAAACAAAAGAUAAAGGCCAGUGAAAUGGCUUGACCCUCUGGAAGCUUCCUGUGGAGGAGCCAGAUCCCUCUUCUGUGUCAGUGAAAAAAAAAAAUGAAAAUGCCACGGGUAUGUCACUGUAACGCUCUAAACACUGUCAUUCUCGGGCCAACGAGGAGGCUCAAAAGCCUUGGAGUUACUGCCAAGACUGAUGACGUGGGUUCGAUCCCUGGUCCUUCAUGGCAGAAGGAGAGAACUGACUCCAGCAAGCCAUCCUCUGACCUUCUGCAGGGAAAAAUCAAAAAGGACCUUUGAUUGAGGCCACACUUCAGUGAGUGGGGACAGAGGAUGAACCAGAGGUCCUGGCGGCUGGAGUAGGCAGGCCAUAGAGUGAUGAUGGAGUGACGGGGAGGGGCUGAGACACAGGUGAAGACCCAGGAGCAAGCGAGAAUACAGCUCAGAGGAGGACGCCGCCAUUCUCACACUUUGAUCUGAGCUGGGCAGGCAAACAGAUCAACUCCAAGAGCUCAUGUGGGUAUUUUUCCCCCACUGUGAUCUCCCUCAUCCCUUAAAGUAUUGUCCUGGGGCCAGCAAAAUGGCUCAGUGGGUAAAGGUGCUUGUUGCCAAUACUGACAACCAGAGUUCUAUCCCAGGGACCCAUGUGGUGAAGGAAAAAAUGAGCUCCUGUAAGUUUUCCCCCCGAUUCCCACAUGUUUACCAUGGUACCAUAGCAUAGGUGUGUGUGCAUGUGCAUGCGUGUGUGCCUGUGUGUGUGUGUGUGUAAUGUAUAAAUGCAAUAAUAAACAGAUGUAAUAAAAUAGUAUCAGUCUCAUUGUUAAAUUUUUAAAUUUUUGCUACAUUUUAUUUAUUUGGCGUGGAUACAUUCUUGCCAAAGUAAACCUGUGGCAGUCAGGAGAGAACCUGUGGGAGUUGGUUCUUUCCUUCUACUAUGUGGGUCCCAGAGAUCAAGGUUUGGUCAUCUGACUUGGCAGCCAGUACCAUUACACAGUAAGUCACCUUACCAGCCAGUCUUCAUCUUUAUAGCCAUAGCGAGGGACACUUCAUCAAGCGAAUCUAUGUUUAGCCCAAGGCAAGGACAAAGGAGGGAAGACAAGCAGCCACCAGAAGGAGGUUGGGCACUUCUGAGCCACAACUGAGCCACUUGGCCAAACUCAACUGCAAAGGAGGCUGGGAAAUGUGGUCCCUAGUGUGCAUCAUGUUGGAAUGUUCUGCUUCUAAAAAGAAGGUAGCGGGCUGGAGAGAUGGCUCAGCGGUUAAGAGCACCCGACUACUCUUCCGAGGUCCUGAGUUC
rnacentral:sRNA from 1 species